UUGCUUAGUUUUGCACUGUGGCGAAGCAGGGAAAACUCACGGUGAGAGUGUGAUGGGAACUGAUAGGUGAGCUCUGGGACAGUCCCUCAGGUGUUGAGGGUUUAAACCCUUCUUUGGAGCAACCCAGUUCAUUUGCCGUGCAGCACCUGCUGGGCAAAGAAGGCACCAAAUAUUGCUGGCCUGCUCCAUAUUUAAUUAGCUGCCAUAAUAAGCCAGGGAAGGUUUAACUCAGAGUGCAGGACACUGCACAAACAUCACCUUAUAAAUCACCCUUUUCUGCCUGGGAUAAUGUGCAGGAAGGGUUAAGCUGUAAAACAACCUGCCCUUUUCUACAUAAAUUAAAAAACCUGUUGACAUGGUAAUAUUUUGAUUUCUGUUGAAAAGUGUUUAUUUUGGUAGCCUGUACAAAGUUUCAGCUAUUCUAAAACCCUGAGAUUUCACAGCCAAGCUUUCAUGUUCCCAGCAGAGAAGGAGGUGAGAUACUCAAAGAAUCUCUGUUCUUAUUUCAGCACUGCAUUUGCUAGCCAGAUUUUCAAAAGAGCCCAGUUUGCUGACAUAAAUGGGGUUGCUGAUGUGCCGAAGGAGAAGGAAGCGCUGGGGAACAUAUUCCUCCCUGGGUCCAAGUCUCUCCCAUCUUAUCUUUCCUUUCCAUAUGUUUCCUCUGUAAUGAGAGGAAUUACUUAUCAUUAAAGUGAUAUAUAAUUUAAAAAAUAAAGUUAAUGAAUGCUUAAAUUAAUUUACUGACAAAAACAAAUGUCUGUCCUUCAGAUCCUGUAAUUUUAAUUGGAGUGGGCUACAGCUUAAUUAACUUGUAUUGAUUGUAGUCCUGAGUGCAUCUACAGGUGGGUGAACUAUGUUGGGAGAAAUCCUCCUUGAAGAUUUGCUGAUAACAUUCUGAAUAAUUGUCUUGUGAAGAGACAGAGAAGUCUUCACUGUUUUCUCUGCAGAAAGCUUUAAAUAAAAGGUGCAUGAAGAAGACAGAAAAUUGGAGCAAAUAAAGAAGCGGAUGCAACUGGAAACGUUUUGGG